AGAUAUGAGAGAACACAAUAUAAGUCUGAAGUGGAGCUACAUGAAUAAAAUAUAUGUUCCAGAUGGAGGAACAGUAGAAUUUAAAUGUUUAGGAGGCUAUAAACAACAUCCAAAUACCAGAUCAUUAAGAGCUAAUUGUGUGGAUGGGAAAUUUGAUUAUCCAGAUUGCAUUCCUAUCUAACUUAAUGAACAACAGGACAUAUACAGCACUCUUUAAACAGGAAGAUGAAUGUCUGAAAUCAUAUACUAUUCUCUUUAAUAUGACCACAUUAAGCUGGAUUGUAUACAAGUAUAAAUGGUGGAUCCAAACCUAAAAGCCUACUUUGACAGUUUUUACCAACUGAAAUUACUGGAAAAAUGAUAACAUUUAAAAACAAGUUUAUAGAACAUCUUUAAGGCAGAUAACAUAAUGUAACAUUAUAAAUAUAUUUUUAAAAAUGUAUCUUGAGUGAGGAACAUAGAAAUAUAUGUAUAUGUAUAUGUAUGUAUAGUAAAGAUUAGAUUAAUCUGAAUUAUCAAUCAACAGCUCAUCUUAAUGCAAUAACAAUAAUUGAAAUUGAUGUUUUUACAUAUAGAAGUGUUCGUUUAAAAAAAUAAAAAAUCCAUUAAUCAUUUUUACUGCCAAA